rnacentral:rRNA from 1 species
UACGGAGGGUGCGAGCGUUGUCCGGAAUCACUGGGCGUAAAGGGCGCGUAGGUGGCGGAGCAAGUCAACGGUGAAAGCUCGACGCUCAACGUCGAGUCGGCCGUCGAGACUGCUUUGCUGGAGCACUGUAGGGGCUCAUGGAAUUCCGGGUGUAGCGGUGGAAUGCGUAGAGAUCCGGAAGAACACCGGUGGCGAAGGCGGUGGAGCUGGGCAGUUGCUGACACUGAGGCGCGGACAG